rnacentral:rRNA from 1 species
CACGCCGUAAACGAUGUCGACUUGGAGGUUGUGCCCUUGAGGCGUGGCUUCCGGAGCUAACGCGUUAAGUCGACCGCCUGGGGAGUACGGCCGCAAGGUUAAAACUCAAAUGAAUUGACGGGGGCCCGCACAAGCGGUGGAGCAUGUGGUUUAAUUCGAUGCAACGCGAAGAACCUUACCUGGUCUUGACAUCCACAGAACUUUCCAGAGAUGGAUUGGUGCCUUCGGGAACUGUGAGACAGGUGCUGCAUGGCUGUCGUCAGCUCGUGUUGUGAAAUGUUGGGUUAAGUCCCGCAACGAGCGCAACCCUUAUCCUUUGUUGCCAGCGGUCCGGCCGGGAACUCAAAGGAGACUGCCAGUGAUAAACUGGAGGAAGGUGGGGAUGACGUCAAGUCAUCAUGGCCCUUACGACCAGGGCUACACACGUGCUACAAUGGCGCAUACAAAGAGAAGCGACCUCGCGAGAGCAAGCGGACCUCAUAAAGUGCGUCGUAGUCCGGAUUGGAGUCUGCAACUCGACUCCAUGAAGUCGGAAUCGCUAGUAAUCGUGGAUCAGAAUGCCACGGUGAAUACGUUCCCGGGCCUUGUACACACCGCCCGUCACACCAUGGGAGUGGGUUGCAAAAGAAGUAGGUAGCUUAACCUUCGGGAGGGCGCUUACCACUUUGUGAUUCAUGACUGGGGUGAAGUCGUAACAAGGUAACCGUAGGGGAACCUGCGGUUGGAUCAC